CACGUAGGAGGCGAGCGUUUGUCCGGAAUCAUUGGGCGUAAAGAGCGCGCAGGCGGCUUGGCAAGUCGGGUGUGAAAUCCCGGGGCUCAACCCCGUGACUGCAUCCGAUACUGUCAGGCUAGAGGUAGGUAGGGGAGAUCGGAAUUCCUGGUGUAGCGGUGAAAUGCGCAGAUAUCAGGAGGAACACCGGUGGCGAAGGCGGAUCUCUGGGCCUUACCUGACGCUCAGGCGCGAAAAGCUAGGGGGAGCGAACAGG
rnacentral:rRNA from 1 species